AGGUAUGUGAUUGCGCAUGCCCCAUUGGUGUAUCGUACAGCGAUGGUGUCUCCUCUUAUCAGGUUUUCAAGAUACGCUGCGUUGGUAGUGGGAGUAGCUUACGGAUACCAACGAAACGGUCGUCUUCAAGAAUUAGAUAAGGCGAGAAAGAUACAGAAGGAUCUCGAAAAGGGAUCUCACGGCAGUCAAGAACACUCGGGACAUUGACAAAUAGAGUUGUAGACGACGACAAGGAUAU